CGUAGGGACCGAGCGUUGUCCGGAUUCAUUGGGCGUAAAGAGCUCGUAGGCGGCCACUCAAGUCGAAUGUGAAACCUCGAGGCUUAACCUCGAGCCUGCAUUCGAUACUGGGCGGCUAGAGUCUGGUAGGGGGAUCUGGAAUUCCUGGUGUAGCGGUGGAAUGCGCAGAUAUCAGGAGGAACACCGGUGGCGAAGGCGGGAUCCUGGGCCAGUACUGACGCUGAGGAGCGAAAGCGUGGGGAGCAAACAGGAUUAGAUACCCUGGUAGUCCACGCCGUAAACGAUGGGCGUUAGGUGUGGGAGGUCAUCGACUCCUUCCGUGCCGCAGCUAACGCAUUAAGCGCCCCGCCUGGGGAGUACGGCCGCAAGGCUA
rnacentral:rRNA from 1 species